GCUGAACGCUGGCGGCGUGCCUAAUACAUGCAAGUCGAGCGAACAGACGAGGAGCUUGCUCCUCUGACGUUAGCGGCGGACGGGUGAGUAACACGUGGAUAACCUACCUAUAAGACUGGGAUAACUUCGGGAAACCGGAGCUAAUACCGGAUAAUAUAUUGAACCGCAUGGUUCAAUAGUGAAAGACGGUUUUGCUGUCACUUAUAGAUGGAUCCGCGCCGCAUUAGCUAGUUGGUAAGGUAACGGCUUACCAAGGCAACGAUGCGCAGCCGACCUGAGAGGGUGAUCGGCCAAACUGGGACGGAGACAGGGUCCAGACUCCUACGGGAGGCAGCAGUAGGGAAUCUGCCGCAAUGGGCGAAAGCCUGACGGAGCAACGCCGCGUGAGUGAUGAAGGUCUUCGGAUCGUAAAACUCUGUUACUAGGGAAGAACAAAUGUGUAAGUACCUAUGCACGUCUUGACGGUACCUAAUCAGAAAGCCACGGCUAACUACGUG
rnacentral:rRNA from 1 species